UCUAGUUGCAUUUUUCAAUUAAUUUCUUAAAUUAUACUUUGACUAUGUUCUGGCCCGCCAUCUAUUGGCGAAAUUUUUUUUUGGGGCCCAAUGCCAAACUUAAUUGCCGACCCCUGGUGUAUAGGUUAAAUAAUAGAGGACCCAAAACUGAGCCUUGAGGAACACCACGAGAAAUGAUGUUAAAAUGUAUUAAGCAGCAUUUGUUGUCACCCUGCUUAGCCCAGUUAUCAUUUGAGCAAGGAAACUCAACUCAAGCACAUUUAGCAAGUCACUUGUAUUGUGUGUUUUUAGUUUGAAAAUGUGAUCACAUCAAAGGGGCUGAAAAACGUUUAUUGGUUCCAAUUCCAUGGAACUGUUUCACUCCAGAUGACUUGAAGGUUAAAAAUUAAUUAAUUAUCUCUCACUGAGCUUAUCUUUUUGCUUUUCACUGGAAUUUUAUCACUAAAAGUGUUCAGCACUUUCUCAUGGACUAAUAUAAUGCAUUGUAAAGAUUGCUUGCAAGAGUGAGGGAAAAUAUGUUUAAAUUGGUCUUAAAAAAUAGGAUUUAAAUAAAAAAAAAAAAAGGAUUUUAAAUUCAAUCAUUAAUGGUGCUUGCCUCUGGCAAAUUCUUCCACACAAAAUGUCGGCACACUACUCCUCCCUCACCGUUUGUCAUAGACCCAUGAAUGAGGUGUCAAAUCUUGUGGAUUAUUGAGGAAUGGUGUGCUAUGACUUUUUAUAAGCGAUCGGGUGUAUGAUGUUCCCCCAGCGGGCGAAAAAGUAGCCGAAAAAGUCCCAUAGACUUUGCAUUGUGACAAACUUUCACGAAUCAUAGCUCUUAAUGAGGAUUUCGUAGAAACAUGUGGGUUACCACGUUUGAAGAGGCUGUCAGACCAUACCUCGCAAUGGGGUGUAAUUUGUGGGCGCAAGAGCUGCCCAAAUUAAUUAUCGGUGCAGCCGAGUCUUCUCUGGUAAAAUGCAGCUCGGGCUUUGGCCCUAGGGAAUUAGUCAUGACAGCCGCUGGUGUGUACCUCAGGGAUGGGGACUCCUUAGAGUCUUUUUUUUACUUGAUGUCAGCCGAUAAGGCACUCAUCCCGUUGUACCCUCGAAAAAAUUAUCUCGUGGCCACAACUUAUCACGUUCCCACAAGUUAAUAUGUCAUGGCCACGACAAAACUAAGUGAACCGAACAUGUCCCCUCCCGGUCACUGUACUAAUCUGAAAAUGGUGGCUUUACCUUUAAAGUGUUAAAGCUACCAGAAUGACUGGAAAAGACCAUCUCAUUUCACAUUUUACACAUGUAAUGCAUAAAAACUCUAAUACAACUUAUAAUUACAGAUAUUGACAAAUAGCUUUACUUUAGUUGAGUCAAUAACCUUUUUUUAAUCAUCAAAUUGUGAUGAUAAAAUUCCAAAGAAAGGCAGAAUGUGCUGACUGCACCUCAAAUUGGAAAAAAAAAAAAAAAAAAAAGAAAGAAAGAAAGAAAAGAAAAGCUCAGUGGAAAAUGACCUGUGAAAUAACCAUGAGUGUAGGCUAAUGAUCUACGAGUGAAAUAGUUCCAUAGAAUUGAAUGACAGCACAGGUCAUGUGAUUUUGGCAAGAUAAAUACUGAAUCAGGAUCCAUCUGGCAGUCAGACUUCCUGAGAAUACAUUUUUAUUCGUCACCACCAGCACACUGCAGCAAUGUCAGUAAACGCAAACUGGAGCCAAGUGGAGCCUGUCACUCCAGGGAUGAAGGAUUUCUGCCUUGUGGUCAAGCCAGACAUAGAGAAGAUGGCUAGAACCACUUUUGAUGUUUACAGUCCUGUAAGCUUUGCUUAUCAGACUCUGGAAAGAGGAAUGAACUAUGUGAUCAAUGUGAAUGUCGGAGACGAGUGCGUUCAUGCGAUGGCAUCUGAAACUCUCCCCCAUGGAGAGAAACUGACUGUGCUUAGAAUCCAGUACCCUAAAGCCCUCAGUGACCCUCUGAAACCCUUCUGAACACGUCUAACCGCAUGCAGAAAAUAGUCUGUCUUAUCUAACAACAGACACACACAAUGAUCUGCCAUACUGUAUAGAGGAACUAUUGAAAACUGUUUUAUUCCUCAAUAUUAAACUCAAUAUUCAAACCCUCA